rnacentral:misc_RNA from 1 species
AACUUGAGCAAAUCAAUUGUACAGAGCUAGCAUCCUAUGCUCCUACUUCAUACACGAACCUAAUACAAGUGCAUUCAGUAUCCUAAUCAACAUAAGCUGGACAAUAUACUAACACUAUCAACAAAAGGAGAACACAUCAAGUUGAAGCAACCAGCUUCAGGAGAUCUCCUAUGGGUUUGUUGAAGUCACUGCACUUACCUUCUCCACCAAGCCUUUUAUCUCAUUCUCCAACUCUGAUUUCUCAGCGCUUGUAAUCUUACCCUUGCACUUAUCCAAUAUUGAUGCCAUCCCUUUCAGCUUCUGCUUGAUUAGUUGUACCUGUGACUUCCCCUUACGAGCUUUUAGCGAGGAUAGUGGACUCUCAGAUUUAGAGGAAUAGCUGAGCGUAAAGUUCACAUUAGCAGCACCAAAAGGACUUUGCCUUACCGAUUCUUUAAAGGCCUGUGCAGCAUCUGCACCAUGCCUGUAGACAAUUCGAACAGAGUUCGAAUCACGAAGCACUUUUGUUUCCUCUUCAUUCAGCUCUCCAAACUUGUUAUAUAUUCGAAUGAUUUCAUCUUCUGGUGGCAAAGAAAAACCAGUCAAAAAUGCCACCAACAGAAUCACAGAUGAAGCUUCUCUACCAUCAUCCUCAUCUUCUUUUCCCUGACUAGAAGGACCAUAUUCUUUUUUGAGUUUGGUAACUUCUGAUUUUGCAUAAUUUGUCUUCCUCUUCUUUGAAGGAACGGAGUCUGGUGAUUCAGUAUCACUCUGGGAAAUUAGAUUUCCUGAUCCCGCGGAUUUUCUCUUCUUUCCUGUUUCCAUUUGGUGAUACUGCUUGUAGUUUGAUCCAUCAAAAUAUAGCGAGUUUCUGAAAGUGGAAAUGAAACCUCUGGCCUUCUCAAGAGAUCCAUUCCUCAACAGAAGAGGGUUUAGAGCAGUAGACUGAACCUCGGACAAAACUUCAUCCACAGAUGAAUUGAUAGCCAUGGUAUCAAAAGUCCUAGAGCUUCGCUUAUUGAUCCCAGAACUCUUGUCAACGUCAUCCUUGAAGGCCUCUUUCCCAUUCGAAUCAGAAGAAGACAAAAGAAGACGAGCAGCCUUUGUCAUCCUCUCACCAAUCUUGGAAUUAUCAGAAAAUUUCUGUGAUUCUAUUGCCAGUUCUCUCUUAAAGCUUGAUUUUCCUG